rnacentral:rRNA from 2 species
UGGGGAAUAUUGGGCAAUGGAGGCAACUCUGACCCAGCAACGCCGCGUGAAGGAUGAAGGUCUUCGGAUUGUAAACUUCUGUCGCGAGGGACGAAGAAUGACGGUACCUCGUAAGAAAGCCCCGGCUAACUACGUGCCAGCAGCCGCGGUAAUACGUAGGGGGCAAGCGUUGUCCGGAAUGACUGGGCGUAAAGGGAGCGUAGGUGGCAAGAUAAGUUAGAUGUGAAAGCCCACGGCUUAACCGUGGAACUGCAUCUAAAACUGUCUAGCUAGAGUGCAGGAGAGGUGAGUGGAAUUCCUAGUGUAGCGGUGGAAUGCGUAGAUAUUAGGAGGAACACCAGAGGCGAAGGCGACUCACUGGACUGUAACUGACGCUGAGGCUCGAAAGCGUGGGGAGCAAACAGG